UGUUUAAGGUUUGCUAUG
rnacentral:piRNA from 1 species